rnacentral:rRNA from 1 species
AAAUUGAAGAGUUUGAUCAUGGCUCAGAUUGAACGCUGGCGGCAGGCCUAACACAUGCAAGUCGAGCGGUAGCACAGAGAGCUUGCUCUCGGGUGACGAGCGGCGGACGGGUGAGUAAUGUCUGGGAAACUGCCUGAUGGAGGGGGAUAACUACUGGAAACGGUAGCUAAUACCGCAUAACGUCGCAAGACCAAAGUGGGGGACCUUCGGGCCUCAUGCCAUCAGAUGUGCCCAGAUGGGAUUAGCUAGUAGGUGGGGUAACGGCUCACCUAGGCGACGAUCCCUAGCUGGUCUGAGAGGAUGACCAGCCACACUGGAACUGAGACACGGUCCAGACUCCUACGGGAGGCAGCAGUGGGGAAUAUUGCACAAUGGGCGCAAGCCUGAUGCAGCCAUGCCGCGUGUGUGAAGAAGGCCUUCGGGUUGUAAAGCACUUUCAGCGGGGAGGAAGGCGGUAAGGUUAAUAACCUCAUCGAUUGACGUUACCCGCAGAAGAAGCACCGGCUAACUCCGUGCCAGCAGCCGCGGUAAUACGGAGGGUGCAAGCGUU